rnacentral:ncRNA from 1 species
CUUAAUAGCUCAAAUGUAGGGCCUUUAUAAUAGUAAUAUUAUAAUUUGAAUCAAGCUAUAAGCUGGAAACUCCUAAAGCUUAAUUUACGUAUUACAACUAUGCCUUUCGUUUUUAGUCUAUACUAACAUUAGAAAAGUAUGGACUUUACGUAAAAAUAAUUAAGAUGAACAAUGGACAAUCAGCAGGAAACCAAAAAUUAGAGAUAAACAUAAUUUAUCUAAAUAAUUUAGUAGGAUCCUCAGAGACUACACGCUUGACAUCCUUAUACUUGUUCUCCACCAUAGGUUCUUCUCCUUUAUCCAUAGGGAGGGAUUAAUUCCUUCCCUCCCUAAAGGAGGACUAUGGAGGGAGGGCUAGUAUUAACUUAAGGAUGGUGAUAUAGUCCAAUCUAUAUUGAAAGGUAUAG